GUCAAAUGAAAUAAAAACAAAACACAUUCUAAGUUGAUCUUAACACUUUCAUUGCCCUUACAAACUGAGAUGUUUCUCACCACAGGCUGGCUGGUUGCCCUUCAGCCAGGCUCUCCCCUUUGAUCAGUGCUUCAGUCACUUAAUGGUAGUGUUUGUAGAUGUAGGUGGAAGAGAGAGCCAGCAUGGCAAACAUCUCUCCCCUUUAUCAUGUUCUUUCUUCCCUCUUGGCUUUGCCCCCCCCUUCUGAGUCAGGUGAUCAUUACGUCAUCGUAAUCCCAAACUGACCAAAGGAAUGGGGGUGACUCCCUUGAAAGUCCAACAGAUCCUUUGUUGCUGCCUAGGUCAGUGUCCUUUGUUCCUGUGAGGCUGGGUUGUGUUUGUCCCAUACCUGCCCUGAUGAGGUGUGAACUGCCCCUCUGCUCUUCGAGAGUUUUUGCCUGGGCUUGUUUUAAGCCACGAGGACACAUUUUGAGCCUUAUAACUAUAUACAUGAAAUUACAACCUAUAACAUUACUAUAAAAAAAUUACUGUAACAUUACUAUAACAGCAAUGCUCCAUGCAUCCUGAGCCUUCUGAAGAAACCGGACAUGAAAAACAUGCAUUAGAUACCACACAAUCAUAUUAUAAGGAUGAACAUAGGGGAGUAGUGUGUUUCCCCCGAGAUACAGAGUGUCACAGUAUCCAUCUGUUGUCUCUUGUCUUAGACUUAGAUUGUAAGUUCUUCAGAGUGGGGACAGUCUUUUUGCUAUGUAUUUGUACAGUACCUAGCACAGCAGAUCCCAGAUUUAUAAUAGGGGCCUCUAGGCAUUACCCCAUGAGGAAUAAAUAAUAAUAGCAAUGGCACUAUGAUGGGAUGUGUGCCCCGCACCAGCCCUGAUAGGGUUAAUGAGGGCCAGAGAGGCCAAUUAGAUUACCUGGCAUCACCUGUGAGAGGGAGGGCCUGGUUUAAUUAAGAGGGAAGCCCAGGGGUGGAAGUGCUGGGCCAGCAGUCUACAGCCAGGAAACUGAAAGCAGAAAAAGGCUGCAGGGGAAGGAGGCUGCAGUCACCUCCCUGGGAGGUCAUCAGGACAAAGAGGCAGACCAGGAGGCACUCAGGAGGCAGCUGGACCUUACCAGGAUGGAUAGGAAGAAAUGAAAGAAAACUUGGAGGAGCUAAAACCCUGACUUCCAAGUGAACAAGACGACUUCCAUUUCUGGUACACGGCCUGCCUCAUUCAAAAUGGUAGAAAACUGGGAUCCAGAGUUAGACUUUAACCGCCAGAGCAGAGGAUUCUAAAUGGACAAUCUGGAAAAAAAACAAAUGGUGUGCAUGAUACAUCUUCUCAUCUCCUUGUUCCUUCUCCCUCCACAUCUUUCAAACCCAUCUGCUUGAGCACCGGGAUCAUAAGACAAAACACCCCUCCAGAGCUGGUCUCAGUAUGUCCCUAUUGAAAUGCCAUCAUUGCAAUGAAAAGCUGAUCCAGUAGAACAUGGAUGAAUUCAAAGCCCAAUGUCUUAUAGACAACUAGAGAUCAAAGGAGCCUGCUGAUGAAUUGAACUGACACAUGGUAUUAAUCUUCUGCCUCUUAACAUUAGGGGGACUGAAACAGAUGAAGAGUAUCAGCUAUGUGAGAUGCCAAAUAGAAAGCUUCUACAGUUCCUUCCAGUAUGAAUGAUAUGACAGGAUGCAACCACAUAGUAGUCAGAGUGUGACACGGUGAACUAGGUCCGGAGGCUCCCUGCUGGAGGCCCUGCCACACCCCGCCCCAUAAAGGACAGUAGAGAGGUCCUCCAAGCUGCCUAAAGUGGCUGUAUGGGAAGCAGCCAGUCAGGGCCCAGCAGGCUAGUAUAAGAACAGCUGCAGGGCCAGAGUGGAGUUCAAUUCUUUGCUAGACCUAGAGGAGAGUGGAGGGUAUGCUUGGCUGGCUGAGGCAGAUA